ncrna:rRNA from 1 species
CGCUUUGGCAGUGUGGUUAGCUGGUUGUGUGGCCAAUUGACAAAUCACAGCCACUAUCUUCACUGCCGCCGCGA